rnacentral:rRNA from 1 species
AGCGAACGCUGGCGGCAGGCCUAACACAUGCAAGUCGAGCGCCCCGCAAGGGGAGCGGCAGACGGGAGAGUAACACGUGGGAACGUACCCUUCAGUUCGGAACAACCCAGGGAAACUUGGGCUAAUACCGGAUACGUCCGUAAGGAGAAAGAUUUAUCGCUGAAGGAUCGGCCCGCGUCUGAUUAGCUAGUUGGUGAGGUAACGGCUCACCAAGGCGACGAUCAGUAGCUGGUCUGAGAGGAUGAUCAGCCUCACUGGGACUGAGACACGGCCCAGACUCCUACGGGAGGCAGCAGUGGGGAAUAUUGGACAAUGGGCGCAAGCCUGAUCCAGCCAUGCCGCGUGGGUGAUGAAGGCCCUAGGGUUGUAAAGCCCUUUCGGCGGGGAAGAUAAUGACGGUACCCGCAGAAGAAGCCCCGGCUAACUUCGUGCCAGCCGCCGCAGUAAGAC